UAGAGUUUGAUCCUGGCUCAGAUUGAACGCUGGCGGCAUGCCUUACACAUGCAAGUCGAACGGCAGCAUGAUCUAGCUUGCUAGAUUGAUGGCGAGUGGCGAACGGGUGAGUAAUACAUCGGAACGUGCCCUGUAGUGGGGGAUAACUAGUCGAAAGAUUAGCUAAUACCGCAUACGACCUGAGGGUGAAAGUGGGGGACCGCAAGGCCUCAUGCUAUAGGAGCGGCCGAUGUCUGAUUAGCUAGUUGGUGAGGUAAAGGCUCACCAAGGCGACGAUCAGUAGCUGGUCUGAGAGGACGAUCAGCCACACUGGGACUGAGACACGGCCCAGACUCCUACGGGAGGCAGCAGUGGGGAAUUUUGGACAAUGGGGGCAACCCUGAUCCAGCAAUGCCGCGUGUGUGAAGAAGGCCUUCGGGUUGUAAAGCACUUUUGUCCGGAAAGAAAUCGCACUUACUAAUAUUAGGUGUGGAUGACGGUACCGAA
rnacentral:rRNA from 1 species